GAUCUUGGAUCUCUUGGAGAAGCAAAGAAAAUGUUGUUUGUCCAUGCAAGAGAUAAGGGAAGCGAAUAAUCAUGACUCUCAAAGAAUAAUCAUAUUUUUAAUCAGAUGUUCUGUGGUGAAGGCGCUCCUGAUCGCAAAGAUGAAAGGCAAGGUAAGAAAUUUAGUGAAAAGUGGAUUGAUAUGUAAAACGGGCCAAAUUAGUAAGAUGACGCACCCACAGUACAAUGUAAAUUGAGAACAUCCCAGCCCUGUUCGCUUUGCUAUCCAUUACGCAUAAAAUACAAGAGACACGCAAUUAAAGUUUGGUGCUGAUACCCCGGUCGGCGGAUGUUCCAGGGCCGUAUAUUGCUUCCACCGAGCCAUGCUGACAUGAUUUCACAUAUAUUAU